rnacentral:rRNA from 1 species
GGUUUGAUUCUGGCUCAGAUUGAACGCUGGCGGGAUGCUUUACACAUGCAAGUCGAACGGCACGACUUCUGGUCUGGUGGCGAGUGGCGAACGGGUGAGUAAUGUAUCGGAACGUGCCUAGUAGCGGGGAACUACGCGAAAGCGUAGCUAAUACGUACGCCCUUCAAAGGAAAGCGGGGAUUCCCGGGCCCCGCACUAUUAGAGCGGUCGAUAUCGGAAGAAGUAGUUGGUGGGUAACGGCUCACCAAGGCGACGAUUCGUAGCUGGUUUGAGAGGACGACCAGCCACACUCGGGACUGGACACACGGCCCAGACUCCUACGGAGGCAGCAGUGGGGAAUUUUGGACAAUGGGGAAAACCCUGAUCCACGCCAUCCCGCGUGUGCGAUGAAGGCCUUCGGGUUGUAAAAGCACUUUGGCAGGAAAGAAACGGCACGGGAUAAUACCCCGUGCAACUGACGGUACCUGCAGAAUAAGCACCGGCUAACUAUCGCACCAGCAGCUGCGGUAAUACGUAGGUGCAAGCGUUAAUCGGAAUUACUGGGCGUAAAAGCGUGCGCAGGCGGUUCGAAAGAAAGAUGUGAAAUCCCAGAGCUUAACUUUGGAACUGCAUUUUUAACUACUGAGCUAGAGUGUGGUCAGAGGGAGGUGGAAUCGCGUAGCAGUGAAAUGCGUAGAUAUGCGGGAGGAACACCGAUGGCGAAGGCAGCCUCCUGGGAUAACACUGACGCUCAUGCACGAGCGUGGGAGCAAACAGAUUAGAUACCCUGGUAGUCCACGCCCUAAACGAUGUCAACUAGCUGUUAGCCUUCGGGCCUUGGUAGCGUUAACGCGUGGUUGACCGCCUGGGGAUGGUCGCAAGAUUGGGAAACUCAAAGGAAUUGACGGGACCCGCACAAGCGGUGGAUGAUGUGGAUUAAUUCGAUGCAACGCGAAAACCUUACCUACCCUUGACAUGUCUAACCGAAGAGGGAACACAGGUGGCAAGCGUAUGGCUGUCGUCAGCUCGUGUCGUAGAUGUUGGGUUAAGUCCCGCAACGAGCGGCAACUCUAUUAGUUGCUACGAAAGGGCACUCUAUCGAGCACUGCCGGUGACAAAACCGGAGGAAGGUGGGGAUGACGUCAAGUCCUCAUGGCCUCUUAUGGGUAGGGCUUCACACGUCACAAGGGCUGGGUUUGUCCGGGACAGAGGGUCGCCAACCUGCGAGGGGGGAGCCAAUCCCAGAAACCCGAUCGUAGUCCGGACGUAGCUCCGCAACCCGACUGCGUGAAGCUCGAAUCAAGAAAAUCGUUGAUCAGCAUGUCGCGGUGAAUACGUUCCCGGAGUCUUGUACACACUGCCCGUCACACCAUGGGGAGUGGGUUUUACCAUGCAGUUAGCCUAACCGCAUGAGGGCGAUUACCACGGUAGGAUUCAUGAUCAGGUGAAGUCAACAAGGU